rnacentral:misc_RNA from 1 species
AAGCAAUUGUUUUACUUACAGUCUGGAGAA